rnacentral:lncRNA from 1 species
GUGCUGCUCUCACUGAUGAUGACACUUGUAUGGAUGGUUUCGGCCAAGAUGGUCGAGCCAAAGCGGUCGUGAAAGAUUUGGUUCGGCGACAUGUUGUAAAGGUUGCUCGGAUGACUAGCAACGCGCUUGCUGUCAUUAAUAUGUACGCCUCCACACAUGAAAAAUGAUCAUAAAUGUUCAUAUAUCUUUUUUUUUAUAAAUGUUCAUAUAUCAUAUACAAAAUUGUUUGAUAACCUCUAUUGGCAAAAUUGCUUAUGCAUGUUUAUAUGUAUACUAUGUACCUUGUUAUAGGUAUUGUGCAUUUUCAUGUAUACAUAUUUCAAUAAUUUUAUAAUGAAGUUUUGUAUAUUUUGCUUUAGUUUAGUUUAGGAAUGGUAUAUAAUAAAUAAUAUCUUUUUAGAAUAAUAAUAAUAAUAAUAUUAGAUUUUAAUUAGCAUACAUGAGCAGAUAUUUUCAUUUUUAUAGACUAAAUUUAAGGUUAAACAUGUUUUUUAAUUAACUAUUAGAUUUUGAUCUGCGCUUUUAAAGUGCGAGACUAUUUUUUGUUGACAAAUUUAUUAACCCGUUUGUUUGUUCGUUAUAAGUUUAAGCAUGGGUGUUCGGUUUUUGGUUAUGUUCCAAAUUUUUCUUUUUAGUUUUGGUUCGGUUUUGGUUUGGUUGUGGUUUUUGUUUUUUCGGUUCUUAUAGGUUUUUUUUAUGAAUUUGGAUUUAGUUUCGGUUUGGUUAUUAUGGUUUUCGGUUUUGUUCGAAUAACAAUGUUAAAAAUCUGAUAAAAUUUUGAGUUCAAUUAGGUUAAGGCUCGGUUCCCAUUUUUCGGAUAGUUUUGAAUAAUUCAGAUAAAAAUUUUAUUUUUAAAAUUUUUGAUAAAAUAUAGGAUAAAUUUAAAUAGUUUGGAUAAAAAUAUUUUGGUGAUUCAGUUCUAUAGGAGAGUUAGGAUCAUUUAAAAUAUUUUGGAUAAAAAGUAAUAGGAUAAUCCAAAUUUAUGGGUAGUUUAGUUUAUAAACUUUUAGAAUAUUUGAUCAUUUAAAACUAAAUAUAAUUGUUAUUUUAGAUAUAUAAAUUGUAUUUUGGAUAGUUCGGUUCUCAAUUUUCUUUCAAUUUGGUUUCAGUUUUUCUUUUACAAAAUUUAGGAAUUGUUAUUGAAUCGGUGUGGUUUUGUUUUUUUGUUUGUUUCAUAGCAAAUAUUUGUGAAAACAAAACCAAAACCGUAUGGAUAUUAAUUUUUUUUAUUAUAAAUGGGCUAUUCAAUGGGUUUUGAAUUGAUUCACUAUCUAUAAUAAAGUUAUAAAUACUAUGGAAGUUGAUAUAUAAUGUGGAUCUAAUAUCUUUUUAUAAUUGCUAAUUUUCUAUAUAUCGUGGAUCCAAUUUCAAUUUUAAAAAUGUUGGUUCAUAUAAAUUAAUAGAUAUUUUAAUCUAAUUUUCUAUACUUUAUAAAUCGUAAUCAAUACCAAAAAUAGUAGACUUAUUAAUAUUUAGUAUUGCACAAGUUAUUCAGAGGAAUAUCUUCUUACAAAUUAUGGAAGUUGAUAUAUGCAAAAUAUCUCAUUAAAUAUUUUCAAAAUUAUGGAAUUUCUAUAUAUCAAAUUUAAGGAAGUAAUUUAUUCCAGUAUAUUUAUAUUUUUCAAUUUUGGAAGCACGUAAUAUUUUCAAAAUGAAAGUGCAAUAUACACAUCUUUUAUAAAUUAAAUAUUAAAAUUUUGUAUGAUGAAAAAAAUUCAAAUAUAUAUUUGUCUUACAAUUUAGUUAGGAUUAUUAUCAAAAUAUAUUGAAAUUAAGGAAGUUAUAUAUUUAAAUAUACUUGGAUUUUUUUUAAAAGCACAAAUCUUUUCAAAAUGUAAUCACAAGUUACUCUUAUAAGUAGCCUCACACAAUAUUCAAAUCUUUUAUGAAUUAUAGAGUAAAAUUGUGAUAACUCAAAUGAGUCAAAUACUUAAAUUUAUUACAAUUUAUUUAGGAUGAUUAUACAAAAAUACUGUUAGCAUAAAAGAAUAUCUCGUAAACAAAGAACAAAAUCAAUUUUGUUAAAGAUAUCAGUUGAAAAACAAAAUACUGUUAUUCAACAAUAUUUUAAUUAUAAACCCAUCUAAAAUAGUUGUUAAAGAUAUUAUAUAGCAUUUUAACGCAAACCCUGAAUUAAGUUAAUGAAAAUCUAGUAAUAUGAUCAACGAUGGCCGUGGCAAUGAUGCUUCCAAAGUUAAUAACAUACCUUUUGAAACAGAAAUGUAACGACUAACACCACAUGGCAAUGAUGCUUCCAAAGUGAAUAAAUUGCCUUUGAUGUCUGAUCAACGAAUGCCGUGCAGGACGAAGGAAAUGACACACAUAACAAAACCCCAAGCAAACGGCAAGAACUUACUUUUUCACAAUUAGGUAAUGCCACAAUGAUGGCUAAUCCCAUUUAACAGCUAGAAGAAAUGUUCUUCCGACCCAGAUGCAGCAACGUCCUAGACCACAAAUUUUCAGAAUACCAAUUUCACAAUCUAAUUAAAUAUUUUCUUAAAAAAAAUAUAACUAAACAUCAAACAUCAAAGCCCUUUUCCAAAAAAAAAAAAAAAUCAGCAUUUUUUUGUCUCAGGGAAGAAUUUGCGUGGUUUUAACCAUAAGCUGAUAAACAAAAGAGCUAACUUUAGAGUUGAAGUAUUUUUUUUUAAAAGGAAAAACAGUUGAAGUAAUUGAAAUUCCCUUAAUCAACUCGCUGAAAGAAACGUUAAAACUAUAGACGGACUCAAGAACAACACAUGCUCAGCAUAUGAAAAGAUGCCAUCAAAUACUUUUACAAUUCAGCCACAGAUUUCACAAAUACCUUGCGGACAAUUAAAGAAGAAUCUCUAGAGGACUAAACAGUGCAGCAGAAACGAUAGCUAAAAAAAGAGUCUAUGCCGUCGUGAUUGGUGCCGGAGUCGUUGGUUUAGCG